rnacentral:rRNA from 1 species
CCUACGGGUGGCAGCAGUGGGGGAUAUUGGACAAUGGGGGAAACCCUGAUACAUCGACGCCGCGUGAGUGAAGAAGUAUUUCGGUAUGUAAAGCUCUGUCAGCAGGGAAGAAAGAAAUGACGGUAUCUGAACAAGAAGCCCCGGCUAACUACGUGCCAGCAGCCGCGGGAAUACGUAGGGGGCAAGCGUUAUCCGGAAUUACUGGGUGUAAAGGGAGCGUAGACGGUGAUGCAAGUAUGGAGAGAAAGGCGGGGGCCCAACCCCCGGACUGCUCUGGAAACUGUGUAACUGGAGUGCAGGAGGGGUAAGCGGAAUGCCUAGUGUAGCGGUGAAAUGCGUAGAGAUUAGGAGGAACACCAGUGGCGAAGGCGGCUUACUGGACUGUAACUGACGUUGAGGCUCGAAAGCGUGGGGAGCAAACAGGAUUAGAUACCCGGGUAGUC